rnacentral:rRNA from 1 species
AUUGAACGCUGGCGGCAGGCCUAACACAUGCAAGUCGAGCGGAUGAAGGGAGCUUGCUCCUGGAUUCAGCGGCGGACGGGUGAGUAAUGCCUAGGAAUCUGCCUGGUAGUGGGGGAUAACGUCCGGAAACGGGCGCUAAUACCGCAUACGUCCUGAGGGAGAAAGUGGGGGUUCUUCGGACCUAACCCUUUCAGAUGACCCUAGGUCGGAUUAGCUAGUUGGUGGGGUAAAGGCCUACCAAGGCGACGAUCCGUAACUGGUCUGAGAGGAUGAUCAGUCACACUGGAACUGAGACACGGUCCAGACUCCUACGGGAGGCAGCAGUGGGGAAUAUUGGACAAUGGGCGAAAGCCUGAUCCAGCCAUGCCGCGUGUGUGAAGAAGGUCUUCGGAUUGUAAAGCACUUUAAGUUGGGAGGAAGGGCAGUAAGUUAAUACCUUGCUGUUUUGACGUUACCAACAGAAUAAGCACCGGCUAACUUCGUG